GACGAACGCUGGCGGCGUGCUUAACACAUGCAAGUCGAACGGAAAGGCCCUGCUUUUGUGGGGUGCUCGAGUGGCGAACGGGUGAGUAACACGUGAGUAUCCUGCCCUUGUCUUUGGGAUAACUUCAGGAAACUGGGGCUAAUACAGGAUAGGAGCUACUGCUGCAUGGGGGGGGUUGGAAAGUUUCGGCGGUUGUGGAUGGAAUCGCGGCUUAUCAGCUGGUUGGUGGGGUAGUGGCGUACCAAGGCUUUGACGGGUAGCCGGCCUGAGAGGGUGACCGGCCACAUUGGGACUGAGAGACGGCCCAGACGCCUACGGGAGGCAGCAGUGGGGAAUAUGGCACAACGGGCGGAAGUCUGAUGCAGCAACGCCGCGUGCGGGAUGACGUGCUUCGGGUUGUGAACCGCUUUCGCCUGUGACGAAGCGUGAGUGACGGUAAUGGGUAAAGAAGCACCGGCUAACUACGUG
rnacentral:rRNA from 1 species